CGAACGGUAACAUUUCUAGCUUGCUAGAAGAUGACGAGUGGCGGACGGGUGAGUAAUGCUUGGGAACUUGCCUUCAGGAGGGGGAUAACAGUUGGAAACGACUGCUAAUACCGCAUAACGUCUACGGACCAAAGCGGGCUUCGGCUCGCACCUGAAGAGAGGCCCAAGUGAGAUUAGCUAGUUGGUAAGGUAAAGGCUUACCAAGGCGACGAUCUCUAGCUGUUCUGAGAGGAAGAUCAGCCACACUGGGACUGAGACACGGCCCAGACUCCUACGGGAGGCAGCAGUGGGGAAUAUUGCACAAUGGGGGAAACCCUGAUGCAGCCAUGCCGCGUGUGUGAAGAAGGCCUUCGGGUUGUAAAGCACUUUCAGUUGUGAGGAAAGGUUGGUAGUUAAUACCUGCCAGCUGUGACGUUAACAACAGAAGAAGCACCGGCUAACUCCGUGCCAGCAGCCGCGGUAAUACGGAGGGUGCGAGCGUUAAUCGGAAUUACUGGGCGUAAAGCGCACGCAGGCGGUUUGUUAAGCUAGAUGUGAAAGCCCCGGGCUCAACCUGGGAUGGUCAUUUAGAACUGGCAGACUAGAGUCUUGGAGAGGGGAGUGGAAUUCCAGGUGUAGCGGUGAAAUGCGUAGAUAUCUGGAGGAACAUCAGUGGCGAAGGCGGCUCCCUGGCCAAAGACUGACGCUCAUGUGCGAAAGUGUGGGUAGCGAACAGGAUUAGAUACCCUGGUAGUCCACACCGUAAACGCUGUCUACUAGCUGUGUGUGAAUUUAAUUCGUGCGUAGCGAAGCUAACGCGCUAAGUAGACCGCCUGGGGAGUACGGCCGCAAGGUUAAAACUCAAAUGAAUUGACGGGGGCCCGCACAAGCGGUGAGCAUGUGGUUUAAUUCGAUGCAACGCGAAGAACCUUACCUACACUUGACAUGCAGAGACUUUCAGAGAUGAUUGCUGCUUCGGGACUCUGACACAGUGCUGCAUGCUGUCGUCAGCUCGUGUCGUGAGAUGUGGUAGUCCCGCACGAGCGCAACCUUGUCCUAGUGCAGCAUUAGUGGGCACUCUAAGGAGACUGCCGUGACAACCGAGGAGGUGGGACGACGUCAGUCAUCAUGGCCCUACUGUAGGGUACACCCUGCUACAAUGGCAGUACAAGGAAGCGGCCGGGAUGUGACGCAACCCUUAACAUGUCUGAUCCGAUGGAUGCCAAUGCACUCUGAUCGAAACUGUUUAAUCCAGUCAGCACAUCGGGAGGAAAGAUAAUCUGC
rnacentral:rRNA from 1 species